UUUGGAUUCAUAACAAAAAGAGACUUAAUUCUCAAAAAAUGUCAUACAACAUAAGAAUAGUUUCACAAGAUCGCAGAGCGGUGGGAAAAGUCAUGUGUGACAUCGGACCUCACAACUGACUAGGAGCAAGAAUGCCAAAGAGGCGGACAACAUAUAAAAAUUCACCAGUCGGAGAAAGGAAGAACCUGCACCCGCU